rnacentral:lncRNA from 1 species
GACUGAUCAUAGUGGUUCAGUUGCAUCGAAAACACAUAACCACUAUAUUAGAAAGAGUUACUUUGGGAUAAAAAUAGGGUUGGGCCCAAUAACUGUUAGGUGAGGGACCCAAUGACCACCUACUUGUGAAUGGUGGGUCUGGCUUAACUAAAGAGUAUGGAAAAUAACUGUUAGGUGAACCUACAUGACUUAGAGACCAAGUGACUGCAACAUGCUUAGAGAAGUAUCUGGAUAAAGAGUUAUCCAUGCAUCGAUAUUUAUUCAUGUUACCAAUAACUGUUAGAUGAGGUGGAUGAUAUUGGUGGGACCGCACUACCCACUAGAAAUCUAAUUAUUGUAUU